rnacentral:rRNA from 1 species
AUGCAUUCACAUAUAGAUAGCUUAUUUGCAUUGUUCUAUAUAUUUUGUAGUCUCAAUGAUGAUGCAUACAUGUCAACUAUGGGUGUUGGCUCUAACAAUUCGCAUUGGUCUCAAACCAAUGACAUGCACUUUGAGGACCAUGAGUUCGAGGUGGACGAGGAUGGUGAGGGCAUUGUCGACGCACCGAAAGGAAGAGCAGGCAACUACACCAACGCAGAAGACAUCUUACUAUGCAAUACUUGGUUGCAAGUGUCGAGGGAUCCAUCCGUUGGAGGUGAUCAAAGUAGAGAUGCUUAUUGGGACCGGAUGAAGGAACACUUUGAUGUUCGCAACGUGAGUGGAAUUGACCGCUCUGAACGAUCUCUUCGGUCCCGGUGGUCGACAAUCAACAAGGAUUGUCAAAAGUGGGCGGCCGCACAAAAGGCGGUUGACAAGUUGAACCCAAGUGGCACCAAUGAGGACGAUAGAGUAAGUGGCAUUUCAUUCAUGUUCAUCCAUGUUCAUCAUACUUGUUGUUGGUGUUUGAAGUGCUAA